GGGAGUGUAGCUCAGUGGUAGAGUGCUUGUCUGGCAUGCAUGAGGCCCUGAAGUUCAAUCCCU
rnacentral:tRNA from 1 species